AUUCUUUGCUAUCACCUGGUAACUUAACUGUUUGCAGGGUUCUGAGUUUGGGACUUGGCUGUGUUCUAUUGUGAGCUUGUGUGCUUUUCAUUGUUAGGGGUAGGAAAACAGUUGCUGGUGGAAUCGGCCUUGAAAGUUUUAGCCUGUAGGUGGCAGCAUUGUCAGGGUUUGGAAGCGUGAGCUCUGCGGACUUAGCUGCCUGCCUCUCUUCUCCAAGCAGGGCUCCCAUCUCUUCAGGCUGGGCUAACAUCAUUACACACUCCUGUCAGUUGACCACAGGUAACUGAAAUGUGGGACACUGAAGACAGGAAGGAGGGUCUGCUGUAUGCAGACAUUGUGAUGUUUCUCAUAAGGCCCUCAGAGAUCUUGGAGCAGAGAAAGUCCUGAGUCUGUGGAGUGAAUAUCUUUUGAUAAAGGUGCAGCCAUGUUAAUGACUUCAAAUUGCUGGGCUCAGAGAGAUGGCAAAGCCUUCCAAGGGAACUGAAGGACUGGAUUCCCAAAAGGUUUGGAGUGAUGUUCUUCUGGUAAAUUUACAUAAUAAGCUGCUGCAGAUUGGACUCAAUACAGAUUAAACAAUGCCAAAUGCAAUGGGCCAGAGAGAUGGUUCAAUGAUUAGAAAUGUGUACUACUUUUGCCCAAGACCUGAGAUGGCUUCCCAGCACCUACAUUACAGCGUUGAUCAUUGCCUCUGACCACAGCUCCAGUAGAUCGGGCAUCCUUUUCUGUCAUCUGUGGGCAUGCGUGCUAUGUGCACAUACACAAAGACACACACAAAACGUGCAUAAAUAUUACAAAAAAGACAAUAAACCUUUUAUAAAAUGAAGUACUUUUUGGAACUUAACUCUUUAAAACAAGUAAUGCUGUAUGAAGUGUUGCUGUUUUUGUAAUUCUUAAAGUUCAAAAAGGUGAUUGUAAUUUCACUGUUUGAAUCUCUCAUGCAAAACUGCUGUGUGAAGUGCACAAUAAAGUCCAUCUUAAGGGAUAA